AAUAAACGAAUUUCUAUAUUUUUAAUAGAAUUUUUAACUGUUCGUUUUAUUUAAAAAAAUUUUAUGAUUAAUAUUUUUAUUGUUACUGCAUGAUCAAACAUGAACAAUACUUUACGUGCGACUAAUUUUUUUCAAUUUUUUUAUAAAUUUUUUAAAUAAUACGGAUGGUCAAACACUCGACAUAGAAAACACAGAAAUCCUCUUCUG
rnacentral:pre_miRNA from 1 species